GGAGUUAGCCGGUCCUUAUUCGGGCGGUACUUGCAAUGCGGCACACGUGCCGCACUUUACCCCCGCCCAAAAGGAGUUUACAACCCGUAGGGCCGUCAUCCUCCACGCUACUUGGCUGGUUCAGGCUUCCGCCCAUUGACCAAUAUUCCCCACUGCUGCCUCCCGUAGGAGUCUGGACCGUGUCUCAGUUCCAGUGUGGCCGUUCAGCCUCUCAGCUCGGCUACCCAUCGUCGACUUGGUGGGCCGUUACCCCGCCAACUAUCUAAUGGGACGCGAACCCCUCCUGAAGCGGAUUCCUCCUUUGACCUCAUCCCGAUGUCGGGUCGUGGUCUUAUGCGGUAUUAGCAACCGUUUCCGGUUGUUAUCCCCCUCUUCAGGGCAGGUUGUUCACGCGUUACUCACCCGUUCGCCACUAAAGUAUCAACCGAAAUCAAUACUUCCGUUCGACUUGCAUGUGUUAGGCACGCCGCCAGCGUUCGUCCUGAGCCAGAAUCAAACUCUGA
rnacentral:rRNA from 1 species